AACGAACGCUGGCGGCAUGCCUAACACAUGCAAGUCGAACGAGACCUUCGGGUCUAGUGGCGCACGGGUGCGUAACGCGUGGGAACCUGCCCUUAGGUUCGGAAUAACUCCCCGAAAGGGGUGCUAAUACCGGAUAAUGUCUUCGGACCAAAGAUUUAUCGCCGUUGGAUGGGCCCGCGUUGGAUUAGCUAGUUGGUAGGGUAAAAGCCUACCAAGGCGACGAUCCAUAGCUGGUCUGAGAGGAUGAUCAGCCACACUGGGACUGAGACACGGCCCAGACUCCUACGGGAAGCAGCAGUGGGGAAUAUUGGACAAUGGGCGAAAGCCUGAUCCAGCAAUGCCGCGUGAGUGAUGAAGGCCUUAGGGUUGUAAAGCUCUUUUACCCGGGAUGAUAAUGACAGUACCGGGAGAAUAAGCUCCGGCUAACUCCGUG
rnacentral:rRNA from 1 species